UUUUUUUUUUUAUUUUAUUUUUAUUUUUUGUAGGACUGCACCCGGGGCAUAUGGAGGUUAAGAAGACAGAUAAAAGUGGAAACAAAGGGUCCAUGGUAGGCUGCAGCGGUCAUCUGGAGCCAUGAUGGGGCUUGGACUAGAACGUGCUGAUGCUGAGAAGGGGUUGGAUUCAGGAUCUGACUAAGGAUAUACUGGAGUUCCCUGGUGGCCUAGCAGUUAAGGAUCUGGUGGUGUCACUACUGUGGUGUGGGUUCAGACCCUGGCCGGGGACCUUCCACAUGCUGUAGGAGCUGACAAUAUAUGCGCAGGCAGAUAGAUAGAUCUAUAUGUAUUACGAAAUUUAACCACAAUGUAAAUAAUGUUGCCGUUGACCGAGUAUGAUGGGUUAGGAGCGUAUUUGGGAAGAAAAUCAUAAUUAUCGUUGGCAAUGUCCGUUGAGGAUGUUUAUUAGAUAUUCAGGUGAGGCAGCCAGAGUAUCUCUGAGGCUGCAGUUAAGGGGAAACGUUGGGCUGAAACCUAAGCCUGAGAAGAUGAAGGGAUUUGAGAAUGGAGACAAGACAAUAAAUAUGAUGGGGAAGCACAGAGGCUCGCUUGGUCAAGGAAGGAAGAAAUGACAUGCGGGGAUAAUAAUCCAUGAAAAUGUAUUAAAUCCAUGGAUUAGAGGUACUCGGGAGCAACCCACCAUUGUCGGAGUGAUGGUGCCAGAGGGAGUGGCCUGUUAGGAGAAGAGGGAUGCCCAGAGGGAGAAUGCUUCGGAUGAGUAUGUUGGUGACGGUGCAGUUAUUGGUAAUGACACAGCGUAAGGUCAACCGUGGGCACAGGUGGCGGGUGUCUGGUCGGGGGAGAACAGGAUUGCAGAAGCGAGCAGGUCAAGGAGCUGCGUGGCCAGGUUGGCGUAUGGAUAGGGGUGGGAGAAAAAACACCCAGUUGAUUAGGUGCUAAAAUAUUCUUUCAUGUGUCAAGUGCUUCCAAAGGGGUUCUUAGGGAGGAGAGAGCAUUGAAGGUGUGAACGUAGCAGCGAAGAUCAAAGCGAGACCUGCAUCCCUUCAGGCUAGUGAUACUCAGGUUGCGGGAAGGAAAAAAGCCAUUUCUGAGAAGGCUGCCGGAGAGCGGUGUCUUCAGGAGGGAACGAUGCUUCAGAGAAGAUGGGAGAAAGCUGGCAGCUUUUCCAUCUCGAAGGUGGAAUGGAAAGGUUGGAGGAGAGGACGAGGGGUGAGAAUGUGAAGCAAAUCAAAGACCGUGCUGGGCAAUGUGGGGAUGAGCACGGAGGGAAGGCAAGGACACAGGGGGUGAGCUACUCAGUGAUGCAGUGGUUGCAGCAGCGGGAUGGUGACAGAGGAGCCGUGCAAUGGCCCAGCCCCGGGGGUUACUUUGGUGUGUGGUACAGAAUCAAUUCCAGUGAAGUGUGUUGAGAGGAGAGGCCUGGGGAUGGACGUGGUGUUUUCACAAGAACGGGCAAGUUUGCAAGGGCUUCUCUCAGAGCUACGUUUGCUCAAGGCGAGUCGUGCCAAUUUGACUUAUUCAAACAAUUGAGUAUCAUCCCGUUACCUGUCCUGUCUAGUUAAGAAAGCCACCGCUGGAGUUCCCGUCGUGGCGCAGUGGUUAAUGAAUCCGACUAGGAACCACGAAGUUGCGGGUUCGAUCCCUGAGCUGUGGUGUAGGUUGCAGACGUGGCUCGGAUCCUGCCUUGCUGUGGCUCUGGCGUAGGCUGGCGGCUACAGCUCCAAUUGGACCCCUAGCCUGGGAACCUCCAUAUGCCGCAGGCAUGGCUCAAGAAAAGGCAAAAAAAAAAAAAAAAAAAAGGCCACGGCUACCUUUACAGGCUGGUCUCAUUGGGCUUGGCCUUGAGGGGCCACGAUGGGAGCAGCUACGCACUGUUCAUAAAUAGUGUCAUUUAACCCUGGACCCGAGCCCCAAAUGGUGCGUUAAGAAACACACUUUUCAUCAGCUCAACCUUCUCCUGGAAGCACUACAGUAGCUUCCGUAAAUUUCGGCUGCCUGGGGAGCUGUUAGUUUUCCGAGUCACUUUGCAACAAGAGGCCCUUCAGCUGGGCAGUUCCAACACUCAGCUCAUCCCCCAGUUGUGCCAUUAAGAAAGUAAUGAACUAGACCUUCGGGAGCCCCAGAUGCAGCACUUUGCCUGUGGUUUGUGAAUUCAAACCAGGCAAAAUGUGUCCAGCUCUGCCUGCUUUCUUUGAAUAAAAGGGUAGAAGUGGAAUGCCCGCUGUGGCUCAGCGGGUUAAGGAUCCAGCGCUGCCGUGAGCUGUGGCGUAGGUCCCAGAUGCGGCUUGGAUCCAGCGUUGCCGUGACUGUGGUUGUAGGCUGGUGGUAGCAGCUCCAGUUCGACCCCUAGCCUGGGAACUUUCACAUGCGGCAGGUGCAGAUGUUAAAAGAAAAAGGAAAAAAAAAAAAGAAGAGUAGAAGCCACUUGAGUCCUAAGUAUGUUUUCAGGUCUCGUGGGUGUGGGGGUUUUCCGUGCACAAUGCCACCUCAAUGGCGCAGGCCUCGUAUGUCAUUUUAUGUCACUGAAAAGGCUCCCUAGCAUCUGCAUUGCAGGCAGCGUUGCACGUGCUGCUCCGCAGAGGUCUCUGCCCCCCACUGUCCCCGGGUCGGCUAACUUCCUGCUCAUCCUUCAGGGCUCACGUCACAGGCCCCACUCUGAAAUGCCUUCUCCAGCCUCACGUCUGUGAUCUACGUUCCCAACGCAUCAUCACACGUGAGAAUUAUUGUGAGCUUGGUGUCCCAGAGCACCUGGCCAGGUGCUGGCCUGGCAAGUCGAGGCCUUGGAUCAGUAUUCACUGAGGCUGAGGUGAACGUAGACACGCUCACUGGCCCACAUCCUUAGGCACGUUCAUUGUAUUUUACCCCAAAUCUUUAAUGCCCAACGGCGUCUUCAGAGUCCACAUCGAGUGGCUGCAAGAGAGUUACAGGUUGUCCCUUAGGCAUUAUGCCCAGACCUUGGGUGUAAUUAUAUUAUCUCAGACCAGAAAGGUUGCUUUGGGUUGCCUCUUCCUUGCCAUCUGUCUCUGGCCCCUUAUCUGGGAAAAGGUAAAAUUUGUGUCUGGGACAGGAACACAAUUAGACCAGCUUGUGCUGCACCUGCUGGGCAUUUCAUUGCUGGCCAGUUUCCUAAGGCCAGACUCUCGUUAUGCUCUCCAGAAGCUGGAGCACCCUUUCAACAGCAGUAAUUUGAGGCCUGACAGCUACCAUUUAUUGAACAUUUACUAUAUUUCAGGUCCUGUGUUGUCCCUUACUCAUUUCUCAAACCUAAUGAGGAAGGGACCCUAUGACCAUCCCUAUUUUACAGAAAAGCAAAUUUAGGCUUGUGAACAUCCUGUAGCUUUUCUUAAGUUGGUGUAACCACUGAGUGGCAGAGCUAGGAUUUGGAUCCAGGUCUCUGAAUCCAAAAGUUCACGCACAUUCUUUUCUCUGGUGCUACUCUAAGCAGGCCACAGACCUGCAGUGUAAGAACACGGGGCCUUGUGGCCUGCUCCCAAGGAGUACUCUUGAGUACUCCCGAAUUUCCAAGGGGAGACAUUUAUAUCAGUCAUUUAAACCAUCCUACCUGGGAAUGAUCUACUUUUUUUUUUAAAGGAAGCCUCAGCUUGUCAAUCAAUAAAAAUAAAUAGGGGAGUUCUCUUGGGAUGUAGCACGUUAAGGAUCCUGCAUUGUCACCGCAGCGGCGUGGGUGGCUGCUGUGGCGUGGGUUCUGCCACAUGCCGGCACAGCCAAAAAACUAAGUAAAUAGGAAUGACAUUGUUUCAAUUCCACGUGGAGUUUUUAGUCAUUUCAUAAUGAAGUUACACAUAAAAUCUGCACUUUCAUUGGCCUGAUGUCAUGGGCAUUUCUAUUUUAAAUGUUCUCUAAAGAAGACCCAGCCAUAUAGUUGGACGAGGGAAGCCAAUAUUAUAGACUCAACACUUGGAGGCGAAUCUUUUCUCCUGUGUUCAUCAUUUAAACUCUUUGCCUAAAGAGUUUUAAAGAAGUGUAUGCAAGACACGGCAAGUGAACUCCUGAUACUACCUACUUAGUUCCAAUUUAUUCUUAUGCCAACUUGCAGUUGACUGUUUCCUAGGCUUCCAGCUGCAUUAAUAUAGGAAGCAACAGAAACCCAGAUGGAUAAGCUAUUCGUGGAGCACUGAUGGGAGGCCAUCCUCACGGAGAGUUAGAAUCAAAAUCAGUCACAUGAUCCCUCAUAAAUCAAAGGCCACAUUUAUGGCUCACUCAGGACUGGUGCUUUGUGGCCUAAUGAUGGUGGAGAGGGAGGGGGUUAAGAUCAAAAAGAUAGCAUUCUGGUGUCACAAGAAGCUCCGUUUACCAACAGAGCUCUCCGUGGAGCUAAGGGGCAGGCACUGGCAUGAACACAUUACCUACCAGCUUUAAGUUUACAACCCCCUUACUCUGUAGGAGUUAUUACCUCCCCUUUACAGAUGGAAAACUGAGGCUCCGGGGAGGUUCAGUGACUUGUCCUGGCCUUGCGUCUUGCCUAAGGCAUGUUAGAUGCGUAUCUCAGUCUGUCCGGCUCUCAGUUUCCUGCAAUUACUAUUCCCCCCCGGCUACUUCCUAAAGUGCCUCUUAUUUGGCGAAGGAAAUAAUCAAAUCUGGGGAAGGUUAAAAGAGAUGCGCACCAACUGGGAGCACGAAAGGGAACUAACUCUGCAUUGAGAUCCUAGGAAGCGUCAUCGGGCAGCUGACAUUUGAUUUAGCCAAAAAAAAAAAAAAAAAAAAAAAAAAA
rnacentral:lncRNA from 1 species